AUGCACGCUGGCGGCGUGCCUAAUACAUGCAAGUCGAGCGAACAGACGAGGAGCUUGAUCCUCUGACGUUAGCGGCGGACGGGUGAGUAACCCGUGGAUAACCUACCUAUAAGACUGGGAUAACUUCGGGAAACCGGAGCUAAUACCGGAUAAUAUAUUGAACCGCAUGGUUCAAUAGUGAAAGACGGUUUUGCUGUCACUUAUAGAUGGAUCCGCGCCGCAUUAGCUAGUUGGUAAGGUAACGGCUUACCAAGGCGACGAUGCGUAGCCGACCUGAGAGGGUGAUCAGCCACACUGGAACUGAGACACGGUCCAGACUCCUACGGGAGGCAACAGUAGGGAAUCUUCCACAAUGGGCGAAAGCCUGACGGAGCAACGCCGCGUGAGUGAUGAAGGUCUUCGGAUCGUAAAACUCUGUUAUUAGGGAAGAACAAAUGUGUAAGUAACUAUGCACGUCUUGACGGUACCUAAUCAGAAAGCCACGGCUAACUACGUG
rnacentral:rRNA from 1 species